UUAGGAUAAUGAUGCUGUUAGCUUCUUGUUGAGAACCAGAGCCGUAGACUCUCUUCAAUGUUCAUAUUUAAUCAUGUUUGAUAACAAAAAAAAUUGUUUAUAGUGAAAACGAAUAUAAACAAAAUAAUUUAUUUGGUCUCACAAUUCAGUGAACUAUAUUCUUUUCAUUAUAAACAUUUUUCUUGAGACUAUUUAUAAAGCUGAGCUUGUUUGAAUUAUAAAAGGGCUCUAUAGAAUGUGAUCCUGAUUCCUGAACAAGUGAUUAAAUCUUUGCGAAUUUCUUGAAAUACAAACUAUGGACCCGACCAAUAAUAGAGAAGAAAUAUGAGAUCUACUGACAACAGUUAGAAAAGAAUCAUGAAAUUUGAUCCAAAAAAAAAAAAGAAAAGAAUCAUGAAUUUUUUAAUAGACAAAAAAAGUUGUAACAACUAGGGUCUAGUAACAAUCAGAUAAAGUUGUGGGCAGAACAUCACGAUUCACGAAUAAUUUCAUUUACCAAACACAGUAUUAAACUAACACAGUUUUCCUUUACAGAAAAAAAAAAAGAAAUCACAAAUGAGAUUUUAUGUUCUAUACAUUAAACAAUUUGAAAAUAACUAGAAAUGAGCUGAGAACUACAAAAGAGCUUUUCCUAUAUAAUAUCAGUAUAGAAUGAAUUACACCUUGGAUUUUGUUUUAUAUUAAGUUCGCAUUUCAGCAAGUAUUAAAUCGUAGUUAGAAUUCAAAUCAUAGUGAAUUCUCAUAAUCGUCAGUGUUUU
rnacentral:lncRNA from 1 species